GUGCACGAGCUCUGUGCAAUACUCAUGCAAUGACUUCUUUUACCAGUGAUGAAAGAAGACUUUGGGCGGGUUUAGGGUCGUGUUGAGCUCCUCAUCACACCUGUUUCUACAUCCCAUGAAGAAGAGCUUGAACGUGUUGCUGUGCAGAAAUACAUUAAAAUGGUCCAAAAGUGGAUGCAGACACUUGUUUUACUGUUCUUUUGUCAAGAAACUCUCCAACGGAAUGAUCUAACAGAGAAAAGGGAUGGUGACCAUGCACCUUGCUUGGCCAGCCCCCAUGACAACAACAACCACAAUUACUGCACCAAUGACCACAACCAUAGAGCUAACCAACUACAACUGCCAAGUCGUGCAAAGUGGGAAAGGUGGAACCUAGUGCUCCUGUGAUUGUUUGAGCCCCAUUUGGCUGCUGGCUGUGGCCUCCUCUUCAACAUCACCGUAUCCCAUUGCAACCCUGAGUCCUGCAUUCACUCACCAAUAUAGCCCCAUGUACCCAUGAAACACACACCCAACAAACAAAACAAGAGUAUUGAACCAACUGAUGUAAAUAUGCUGCCUUAAUUUUUCUGUUAGAAUGUACACUCUAUGACCAAAAUAAUGUGGACAGCUGGUCGUUGAACAUCUCAUUUCAAAAUCAUGGGGAUUAAUAUGGAGUCGGUCCCCCCCUUUGCUGCUACUCUUCUGGGAAAGCUUUCCGCUAGAUGUUGGAACAUUGCUGCGGGGACUUGCUUACAUUCAGCCACAAGAGCCUUAGUGAGGUCAGGCACUGAUGUUGUGCGAUUAGGCCUGGCUGUAGCGUUAAGAUUUCCCUUCACUGGAACUAAGGGGCCUAGUCCGAACCAUGAAAAACAGCCCCGGAUCAUAAUUUCUCCAACACCAAACAUUACAGUUGGCACUAUGCAUUGGGGCAGGUAGCGUUCUCCUGGCAUCUGACAAACCCAGUUUAGUCCGGUGGACUGCCAGAUGAUUAAACGUGAUUCAUGUGCUUCCACUGCUCCAAAGUCCAGCGGUGGUGAGCUUUCAUAUAAUUUCCACCACUCCAGCUGAUGCUUGGCAUUGGGCAUGGUGAUAUUAGGCUUGUGUGGGGCUGCUCGGCCAUGGAAACCCAUUUUUGGAAGCUCCCCACGAACAUUUAUUGUGCUGACGUUGCUUCCAGAGGCCGUUUGGAACUUGGAAGUGAGUUUUGCAGAAAUGUUGCAACACUCACAGAAGUGUUUCAGAAAUGUGACAAACUUACUUUUUGGAAAGGUGGCAUCCGAUGACAGUGCCACGGUGAAAGUCACUGAGCUCUUAACGCCAUUCUACUGCCAAUGUUGGUCAAAUGAGAUUGCAUGGCUAUACACCUGUCAUCAACGGGUGUGGCUGAAAUAGCCAAAUCCACUCAUUUGAAGGGGUGUUCACAUACCUUUGUAUAUAUAGUGUAUUAACAUUUUCAUAUACAUUUCCAUAUUUACAUUUUAAAUUAAUUAUAAAAAAUAUUAAAUCUGUAAUAUUAAGUCUGUAAAUUAAACCAAAGACAAAAGCUCUGCAGUGAAACUUCAAUAAAACCAAGGUAACAUUUUCUAACUCAAAUGUCGUAUUCAGUUUCUUCCUAGACUUCUAUGAAUGUUUGGUAGAAAUGUGCCAUAUAAAGCAAUAUUUUUGA